rnacentral:rRNA from 1 species
ACGUUCCCGGGCCUUGUACACACCGCCCGUCACACCAUGAGAGUUUGUAACACCCAAAGUCGGUGGGGUAACCUUUUAGGAACCAGCCGCCUAAGGUGGGACAGAUGAUUAGGGUGAAGUCGUAACAAGGUAGCCGUAGGAGAACCUGCGGCUGGAUCACCU